GACGAACGCUGGCGGCGUGCUUAACACAUGCAAGUCGAGCGGUAAGGCCUUUCGGGGUACACGAGCGGCGAACGGGUAAGUAACACGUGGGUGAUCUGCCCUGCACUUCGGGAUAAGCCUGGGAAACUGGGUCUAAUACCGGAUAUGACCUCCUAUCGCAUGGUGGGUGGUGGAAAGAUUUAUCGGUGCAGGAUGGGCCCGCGGCCUAUCAGCUUGUUGGUGGGGUAAUGGCCUACCAAGGCGACGACGGGUAGCCGACCUGAGAGGGUGACCGGCCACACUGGGACUGAGACACGGCCCAGACUCCUACGGGAGGCAGCAGUGGGGAAUAUUGCACAAUGGGCGAAAGCCUGAUGCAGCGACGCCGCGUGAGGGAUGACGGCCUUCGGGUUGUAAACCUCUUUCAGCAGGGACGAAGCGCAAGUGACGGUACCUGCAGAAGAAGCACCGGCUAACUACGUG
rnacentral:rRNA from 1 species